rfam:Peptostreptococcus stomatis DSM 17678 contig00034, whole genome shotgun sequence.
UAAAAUCUUCAGGGCAGGGUGCAAGUCCCUACCGGCGGUAAAGCCCGCGAGCGCAAGCAGAUUUGGUGUAAUUCCAAAGCCGACAGUUAAAGUCUGGAUGAAAGAAGAUGUGG